AAAUAUGGAUUAGUAAUAUACUGAUAUAAUGAAUUAAAGGAAUACACAUUGUGGUUAUCAAGGAUAAAAUAGCUGAAGAAACUAUCUUCUAUAUUCAAUACAUAUACUGGAAUAAUCAUUGUUCACGUACACCCUCAUCCAGAAUAGAUAUCAUGAACACAAUAUAAAUUAUUAAAUGUAAUAAUUUAAAAAAACGGAACACUAGGAACACCUAUGGGGAUAAGCAGUGAUUACAAUUAAAGGGGUUGCAACCCUUUUAACCAGCUGCAUUAGUCCAUUCUAGGUACUAAAAAGGGUGCAAAAAAUCAAAAUGGCUCCUAUACAGUAAAAAAAGGUGUUGGUAUAUCUGCCGGCAGGGCAUAUGUUAGCGAGUGCGCACCAUCAGACUGAAUCGCAUAUCAUUGGGGAGCAGAGACUUACAGUGUGCUGUAAAGAAAAAAAAGGGUAAAUAGCCUUUUAUUUUUUAGCCAACCACAGUGCUUCAUGCAAAAGAGUCCAAAGGGUUCCUGCCAUCCGCUGUAGUCGUACAAUACCGAUAGUAACGCUACAGUUGUGUUCGUGUGUUCGACAAAUGCAGUUAGUUUGUUACAAGUGCAUACAAUUGUUUUUCUAAAAUAGCCAGCAAAAAGGAUUAACUAUUAAGAAUCUGUAUAAAAGAACUUGAACUGUAAUGGUCUCAACUACAAAUGUUUUUUCGUAAUAAGUACGAGUACUACAUUGCAGUGGAUGGAUAUUUUCAUGAAAUGUAUUGGGCAUCAAUGUAUACAGAAUAUAGCCGCCCAAUACACUUAUGAACGAGAUAAGGAGAAAACGGUCUCCCACCCAGAAUCAUUUCGAGAAUAACAAUGAAGACGGUUUUAAUUCCAGCAUUGUACAGCGAGCCGAAGCUUUUAUUAACGUCCAAAGCUCUACGGGCUUUUAAUAUAUAUAUAUAUAAAAACUAUAUGUACGAGUAUAUGUAUGGGAUGGAUGAAAAGCCGAGGCAGCGGUGCCGGAAACAGAGAUGGAAAGAUUUUUCUGCAGCCUGAAAGUUUAAAAGCCUACUUUGAGCUUUGGACGUACAAAAAAAAUGAAUACCAACAGAUUUAAAUGCAAUGUACCUAAUGUAUAACUAAUGUUUGUCGGAAACGUAAUGCAAUAGAAAUCACAUUGAGCUCUUUUGGAUAUUCAAUUCNUUAUACGAUGGUGACAUGUUGAACUGACUUUAGAGUCAUUUGUACAACGAUCGAUUUGUUUGAUUGAUUGUUAACACUUUUAAUAAUUUAAAUUAAUUUUUUCAGCACUUUCGAACAUUGUUCAGAACAGUUUGUUUUCUAUAUUAUAUUACAUACUGUGAUUUGGAGUUCAUCUAUGAGGAUACCCUAGUUUUCGCCACGAAAGUACUUCGUCUUAAACCAUAAGUUAAGUCAUGUGUACAGUACUAGUUUUAUAAUACCUACUGUUGUUAUCGUUAUUUUAAAAUAUAUUUCUGAUUAGUUUUUUUUAGGUAUAAAACAGCAGCUACACCUGCAGCCAUGAACGAAUGAAAACGAUGCCGUCAUCUCUGUAUAAGUUUAAAAUUUAGAAUAUUUGUAGGUAUUGUAAACAGUUAUAACGAGCACCUAUAAUAAUAUCGGAGUAAAAUUAUAUUGUAUAACAGUGGAUAAAUGGAUCUGUGAUUAAGUCAUUUUAUUGUACUCGAUAAAAAAAUAAUCCGACCAAAUUAACAUAACAUGUUAAUGUUAUAUGACAUUGUGUUGAUAGGUAAAACAAAAAGCGACAGUAAACAGAACCAACGUUUUUCGGCACACGUUUGCAACCGUUUUAGGUAUAACGUACAGCAAUUCGGGCCGUAUAAUAAUAAUAAUAAUAAUAUUCACACAAAUGCCACGAAAGUCGUGUACGAAUGGAAGGGAAUCGAGUGUAUAAUAAUAAUAAUAUACGAUGGUAUAUAAUAUUAUGCGGUGAUGGGGUUAGUCAGUUAGGUGUCGUGUGGGAGGAGAGCCACGUUGCGAAAACUUAAAAAUAAAAAAAGUCGGUUAUGGUGGGCCAAUCGAAAAGCAAUCCCGUCUUCGGCGGCAAAAGAAAACGUGUAUAUAUAUUAUUGGCUGUAGGGUGCUGAGGAAGUGGGUAGCGGAGUUUAUAUUGCCGUCCGAUAAAAAGGAAACUCCUCUUUAUUUCCGGAGGUGGGAAAGGGGCAGGGGAGGGAAAAAAACUAAAAACGAAAAAAGGAGAAAGAANGCAGGGGCCGGCGGGGAGAAAAUAGAAAGAAUAUAAGGAAAGGAUAAAGGACCGUUUUCCAUCCCGAGAU
rnacentral:lncRNA from 1 species